GCUUACUCGAACGAUGAAGCCGGAGAUCUGAUGACG
rnacentral:sRNA from 1 species